rnacentral:lncRNA from 1 species
CUCAGUGCUAUCGUCAUUCCAAAAACUUGUAUUUUUUUCAAAGGAAGUUUUGUCUGCAUGAAGACAGACGUGGACCCCAGACAACUAACUGCUGAAGCCUCUCACGUACGUGAGGUUCACCUCAAAGUGCUGUUGAAACAAUCACAGGAUCAUAGAAGGCCGGAAAAGACCAGUAAGACCAUGCAGUCCAACUGUCAAUCCACUACCACCAUGCCCACUAACCCACAUCUCUCAGUGUGACAUCUACAUCUUGAAAACCUCCAGGAACAGUGACUCCACCACCUCCGUGGGCACCCUGUUCCAAC